CCUACGGGGGGCAGCAGUGGGGAAUAUUGGGCAAUGGGCGAAAGCCUGACCCAGCAACGCCGCGUGAAGGAAGAAGGCUUUCGGGUUGUAAACUUCUUUUGACAGGGAAGAGCAGAAGACGGUACCUGUCGAAUAAGCCACGGCUAACUACGUGCCAGCAGCCGCGGUAAUACGUAGGUGGCAAGCGUUGUCCGGAUUUACUGGGUGUAAAGGGCGUGUAGCCGGGCUGACAAGUCAGAUGUGAAAUCCGGGGGCUCAACCCCCGAACUGCAUUUGAAACUGUUUGUCUUGAGUAUCGGAGAGGCAUGCGGAAUUCCUAGUGUAGCGGUGAAAUGCGUAGAUAGUAGGAGGAACACCAGUGGCGAAGGCAGCCUGCUGGACGACAACUGACGGUGAGGCGCGAAAGCGUGGGUAGCAAACAGGAUUAGAUACCCUGGUAGUC
rnacentral:rRNA from 1 species